AUGGUGUGUACUGAGAGAUCUGUCUGCAGAUGACUUCUGGGCGUGUGCUGAGGUGGUUUCAUGUGCUACUCCAGCAGAAAGAGACGUCUAUGCUGCUCUAGGGAUUGAACCGUGGAGCUUCAGAGGCAGUGUCAUCCUGCCUUAUGGUUGUGUUGCAGGUCAUUUAACUUUUUAACCAUCGACAUGAGUAAGUGUCACAGUGAGCUGACGCAGAAGGAGCAGGAGUUGCUGAAAAUUCGCCGAGACAGCGACACAAAGGCCGCCGAGCUUGUUAAAAUGGAGAAGAUGCUGCAGCAGACUAAGAGCCUGCUGGACAAGAAGACAGAGUCUAGUUCAGACAGCAUGGGCUACCAGGAGAACAUGGUGGAGGACCUGGAGGAAAAGGUGCGCUCCAGCAGGCGAUACAGGAGGAACUCCCUCCAUCACACACAGAUGCUUGAGAGUCAGAUGAAGACGGUGAAGGGUGAGCUGGUGGGCACGCUGGACCACCUCCAGGAGCUGAGGAACAUCCUGCGCCGCUCGCAGCAGAAAGCCGAAGAGCGUAAAGCUGCCAUGGAGAAGCUGGCAGCAGAACUCAGGUGAACAACCUGCUCCUUUUCAACCAGAUUGUAGCAUUUCCAGCUCCAACAUCCUCCAUCCUGCUGCACGAGGCUGUGCGUUGAGUACAAAUAGCCUCCUUUUUUGUCUUUAUUUUUAGUGUUAUAGAUUAAAGGCCAUAGCACAAUGAAUUUGACAGUAUCUUCUUUAUAUAAUCCUUAAAUAAUUUAAAUAAUCCAAAGAUGGGAAAUCACAGAACAGUCCAUUUUUAAUGCACCCAUCCCAGUCAAUGAAUAAUCUGUAAGUAAAUCCUGAAAAUCUGUACUCUCAUUCAGUUAUGAUUUAUUACAUUCUUCUUAUAUAUGAAACUUUGCUUGUAGGAGUAAAAAAAACAAGUCAUGUUGCAGUGUGAUAGAUCAGGAAGGACACAGCUGUAUUUCCUUUAGCGAUAUAAAAGUAUGCUGAGUGUGACUCUCUCUGGGAUCAAUAGCCUGUUGUCUGUUUCCUGUGGUGAGUCAUCUGAAUGCUUUAUUUGUAUCUUCCCUGCGGCUGCGAUGUGAUCACACCUCAUUCAGUCCGGCUUGUUUCACACAGUGUCACAUGCUGGGGAGCUAUGUGAGGGUUUCUUCCACUGACUACUGACCUAUAGACAUUAAACUCUAACUGGGGCAAAUCUGCUGGAUCUUGAUCAAUGCUUCCUGCUUCCUUGUCCGUUCUUUUUGUCCUCUGUAAGAGAUGAUUGUUGCGCCUGUAUAUGGAGUGUAUAUUUGUGAUCAAUAGAAAGUGAAACAAGAUAGUGGGACCACAAUAAACACACAAACAUGCAUCA
rnacentral:lncRNA from 1 species